UUAAGCGACUAAGCGUACACGGUGGAUGCCCUGGCAGUCAGAGGCGAUGAAGGACGUGCUAAUCUGCGAUAAGCGUCGGUAAGGUGAUAUGAACCGUUAUAACCGGCGAUUUCCGAAUGGGGAAACCCAGUGUGUUUCGACACACUAUCAUUAACUGAAUCCAUAGGUUAAUGAGGCGAACCGGGGGAACUGAAACAUCUAAGUACCCCGAGGAAAAGAAAUCAACCGAGAUUCCCCCAGUAGCGGCGAGCGAACGGGGAGCAGCCCAGAGCCUGAAUCAGUGUGUGUGUUAGUGGAAGCGUCUGGAAAGGCGCGCGAUACAGGGUGACAGCCCCGUACACAAAAAUGCACAUGCUGUGAGCUCGAUGAGUAGGGCGGGACACGUGGUAUCCUGUCUGAAUAUGGGGGGACCAUCCUCCAAGGCUAAAUACUCCUGACUGACCGAUAGUGAACCAGUACCGUGAGGGAAAGGCGAAAAGAACCCCGGCGAGGGGAGUGAAAAAGAACCUGAAACCGUGUACGUACAAGCAGUGGGAGCACGCUUAGGCGUGUGACUGCGUACCUUUUGUAUAAUGGGUCAGCGACUUAUAUUCUGUAGCAAGGUUAACCGAAUAGGGGAGCCGAAGGGAAACCGAGUCUUAACUGGGCGUUAAGUUGCAGGGUAUAGACCCGAAACCCGGUGAUCUAGCCAUGGGCAGGUUGAAGGUUGGGUAACACUAACUGGAGGACCGAACCGACUAAUGUUGAAAAAUUAGCGGAUGACUUGUGGCUGGGGGUGAAAGGCCAAUCAAACCGGGAGAUAGCUGGUUCUCCCCGAAAGCUAUUUAGGUAGCGCCUCGUGAAUUCAUCUCCGGGGGUAGAGCACUGUUUCGGCAAGGGGGUCAUCCCGACUUACCAACCCGAUGCAAACUGCGAAUACCGGAGAAUGUUAUCACGGGAGACACACGGCGGGUGCUAACGUCCGUCGUGAAGAGGGAAACAACCCAGACCGCCAGCUAAGGUCCCAAAGUCAUGGUUAAGUGGGAAACGAUGUGGGAAGGCCCAGACAGCCAGGAUGUUGGCUUAGAAGCAGCCAUCAUUUAAAGAAAGCGUAAUAGCUCACUGGUCGAGUCGGCCUGCGCGGAAGAUGUAACGGGGCUAAACCAUGCACCGAAGCUGCGGCAGCGACGCUUAUGCGUUGUUGGGUAGGGGAGCGUUCUGUAAGCCUGUGAAGGUGUACUGUGAGGCAUGCUGGAGGUAUCAGAAGUGCGAAUGCUGACAUAAGUAACGAUAAAGCGGGUGAAAAGCCCGCUCGCCGGAAGACCAAGGGUUCCUGUCCAACGUUAAUCGGGGCAGGGUGAGUCGACCCCUAAGGCGAGGCCGAAAGGCGUAGUCGAUGGGAAACAGGUUAAUAUUCCUGUACUUGGUGUUACUGCGAAGGGGGGACGGAGAAGGCUAUGUUGGCCGGGCGACGGUUGUCCCGGUUUAAGCGUGUAGGCUGGUUUUCCAGGCAAAUCCGGAAAAUCAAGGCUGAGGCGUGAUGACGAGGCACUACGGUGCUGAAGCAACAAAUGCCCUGCUUCCAGGAAAAGCCUCUAAGCAUCAGGUAACAUCAAAUCGUACCCCAAACCGACACAGGUGGUCAGGUAGAGAAUACCAAGGCGCUUGAGAGAACUCGGGUGAAGGAACUAGGCAAAAUGGUGCCGUAACUUCGGGAGAAGGCACGCUGAUAUGUAGGUGAAGCGACUUGCUCGUGGAGCUGAAAUCAGUCGAAGAUACCAGCUGGCUGCAACUGUUUAUUAAAAACACAGCACUGUGCAAACACGAAAGUGGACGUAUACGGUGUGACGCCUGCCCGGUGCCGGAAGGUUAAUUGAUGGGGUCAGCGCAAGCGAAGCUCUUGAUCGAAGCCCCGGUAAACGGCGGCCGUAACUAUAACGGUCCUAAGGUAGCGAAAUUCCUUGUCGGGUAAGUUCCGACCUGC
rnacentral:rRNA from 1 species